UACGUAGGAGGCAAGCGUUGUCCGGAAUUACUGGGCGUAAAGCGCGUGUAGGUGGUGGGACAAGUCUGCUGUGAAAGCGCCUGGCUUAACCGGGCGAGGUCGGCGGAAACUGUCCGACUAGAGGACGGUAGAGGGGGGUGGAAUUCCCGGUGUAGUGGUGAAAUGCGUAGAGAUCGGGAGGAACACCUGUGGCGAAGGCGGCCCCCUGGGCCGGCCCUGACGCUGAAGCGCGAAAGCUAGGGGAGCAAACGGG
rnacentral:rRNA from 1 species